UGUGGCCUAAGAAGGAUCUGUGGGCACCAUGGCUGGGACCGCUGUGCUCCUCGCGCUCCUCUCUCUCUGCACAGGUUCCCUCUCGCAGCCUGUGCUGACUCAGCCGCCCUCUGUCUCUGCAUCUCCUGGAGCAACAGCCAGACUUACCUGCACCUUCAGCAGUGGGUUCAAUGUUGGUGCCUUCCGAAUACGCCGGUACCAGCAGAAGCCAGGGAGCCCUCCCCGGUAUCUGCUGAACUACAAGUCGGACUCAGACAAGCACCAGGGCUCCGGGGUCCCCAGCCGCUUCUCUGGCUCCAAAGACGCCUCGGCCAAUGCCGGGCUCCUGAUCAUCUCUGGGCUGCAGCCUGAGGAUGAGGCCACCUAUUACUGUGGGGCACCUCAUGGCAGCGGGAGCAGCUACAGCGACUCACAGUGGCUCAGAUGA